rnacentral:rRNA from 1 species
UACAGAGGUCUCAAGCGUUGUUCGGAUUCAUUGGGCGUAAAGGGUGCGUAGGCGGCGCGGUAAGUCGGGUGUGAAAUCUCGGAGCUUAACUCCGAAACUGCAUUCGAUACUGCCGUGCUUGAGGACUGGAGAGGAGACUGGAAUUUACGGUGUAGCGGUGAAAUGCGUAGAUAUCAGGAAGAACACCCGUGGCUAAGGCGGCUCUCUGGUACGGUACUGACGCUGAGACGCGAAAGCGUGGGGAGCGAACAGG